UACGUAGGGAGCAAGCGUUGUCCGGAAUCAUUGGGCGUAAAGCGCGCGUAGGCGGCCCUGUAAGUCCGUUGUGAAAGUCAAAGGCUCAACCUUUGAAAGCCGAUGGAUACUGCAGGGCUAGAGUCCGGAAGAGGCGAGUGGAAUUCCUGGUGUAGCGGUGGAAUGCGCAGGAUAUCAGGAGGAACACCAAUAGCGAAGGCAGCUCGCUGGGACGGUACUGACGCUAAGGCGCGAAAGCGUGGGGAGCGAACAGG
rnacentral:rRNA from 1 species